ACUUUAGGUCCAUUAUUUAGGUCCAAGUUCAACCACUAGACCUGUACUUCACAAGCCUUCAGAGGAUUCCUGCUUUCAGCCAGCAAGCUUUUUCAGCUGAAGCCCCCAGUAUCAUGGAACAGAAUCAGAUUAUUUCCACCGAGUCCUUUUCAAUUUCUUAACCCACAGGAUUUAUGAGCAUUAUGAAGUCAUUAUUGCUUUCUGCCACUAGGCUGAGAGUGGACCACAUAUACAGAAAUAGAAAACUAUUAAUAGAAAAAUAUAUUGCAAACAUCUAAUCCUCAAACCCCAUUCAAGUUUUGCCAACUACUCUCCAUCCUAUCAAAUAUUCCUUAUACCAAAAGAUCCGGUUCAAAAAUAGGUGUUGCAUUUAUUUUUUAACCUCUUUUGAUCUGGAAUAGCUCCUCACACCGUCUUUCAUGACUUUAGUGCUUUGGAAGACUACAGAAGUUUAGGCUCAUCUGAAAUUUCCCUGCCGUCACCUGGGAAUCAACCAUUUCUUCAGGGAGUCCUAGUUUCUUUUAGCGUAUAGCCACCAAUUUCUACUGAGUAUUUAUCUACUAUAUGGCAGGUCAAGUCUGCAUUCUGGGAUAAAGUGUUGACACAAUCUUGAAUCAGUGCCUAAGGAGUUCACAAGUCCAGAGAGGGGAUAGCGUAUAGAGAAGAUAAAGCAGAUAUCCAUCCAAAGACUUGUAUGUGAAUGUUCAUAGCAACUUUAUUUGUAAUAGCCAAAACCUGAAAGAAACCCAAAUGAAUGUUAAGAAGCGAAUGGAUACAUAAAUUGUGGCAUAUGCAUACAAUGGGAUACCCAGCAAUAAAAAGGAAUGAACUAUUCAAAGAUAAGAAAGCUGAAGAAGAGUGAAAAUAAAGAAACUUCUACAAAGCCACAUGUGUAAUUGACCCGUCAUUUGGAUGUCCCAAAACCACAGAAGCAAUAGAAGAAUGGAAAAAAUUAAUACAUUUUGUCAAUAAAAACUUUAUCUUCA